rnacentral:rRNA from 1 species
UGGGGAAUAUUGCACAAUGGGCGCAAGCCUGAUGCAGCCAUGCCGCGUGUGUGAAGAAGGUCUUCGGAUUGUAAAGCACUUUAAGUUGGGAGGAAGGGCAUUAACCUAAUACGUUAGUGUUUUGACGUUACCGACAGAAUAAGCACCGGCUAACUCUGUGCCAGCAGCCGCGGUAAUACAGAGGGUGCAAGCGUUAAUCGGAAUUACUGGGCGUAAAGCGCGCGUAGGUGGUUUGUUAAGUUGGAUGUGAAAGCCCCGGGCUCAACCUGGGAACUGCAUUCAAAACUGACUGACUAGAGUAUGGUAGAGGGUGGUGGAAUUUCCUGUGUAGCGGUGAAAUGCGUAGAUAUAGGAAGGAACACCAGUGGCGAAGGCGACCACCUGGACUAAUACUGACACUGAGGUGCGAAAGCGUGGGGAGCAAACA